CCUACGGGAGGCAGCAGUCGAGAAUCUUUCACAAUGGGGGCAACCCUGAUGGAGCGACGCCGCGUGGAGGAUAAGGUCUUCGGAUUGUAAACUCCUGUCAUGCGAGAACAAAGCCUGCAAAGGUCUGAUAGUAUCGCAAGAGGAAGAGACGGCUAACUCUGUGCCAGCAGCCGCGGUAAUACAGAGGUCUCAAGCGUUGUUCGGAAUCACUGGGCGUAAAGGGUGCGUAGGUUGCGUGGUAAGUCGAAUGUGAAAUCCGGGGGCUCAACCUCCGAAUUGCAUACGAUACUGCCAUGCUAGAGUGCUGAAGAGGAGUCUGGAAUUCUCGGUGUAGCAGUGAAAUGCGUAGAUAUCGAGAGGAACACUAGUUGCGAAGGCGAGACUCUGGGAAGCCACUGACACUGAGGCACGAAGGCCAGGGUAGCAAACGGGAUUAGAUACCCCAGUAGUC
rnacentral:rRNA from 1 species